rnacentral:misc_RNA from 1 species
GUGGCACUUAAGGGAUUUGGGUUUAGCUUUUGUUCCUUCAGUGUUUGGUAAAAUCUUGAGGAUGUUUUGAACAUUUUGGGUUAUUCUGUGCUUAUUUCAAUUCUAUUUCAAGCAAUUUUCAGUUUCUGUAUUGAUUACUAUGUUCAUUUUGAGCCAUUCCUAGCUACUAGGGGUAUGCAUUAUUCAGUAACUGAAUAGCCGAACCGAUAAAAUUCGAUUAUUUCGGUAAGAGUAAGUUCGAUUGGUUUACGAUUAAUAAU